UACGUAGGGUGCGAACGUUAUCCGGAAUUACUGGGCUUAAAGCGUUCGUAGGCAGUUUGUCGCGUCGUUUGUGAAAACCAGCAGCUCAACCGCUGGCUUGCAGGCGAUACGGGCAGACUUGAGUACUGCAGGGGAGACUGGAAUUCCUGGUGUAGCGGUGAAAUGCGCAGAUAUCAGGAGGAACACCGAUGGCGAAGGCGGGUCUCUGGGCAGUAACUGACGCUGAGGAACGAAAGCGUGGGUAGCGAACAGG
rnacentral:rRNA from 1 species